ACUGCUCAGUAACACGUGGAUAACCUGCCCUUGGGUCCGGCAUAACUCCGGGAAACUGGAGAUAAUUCCGGAUAACGCACAUAUGCUGGAAUGCUUUAUGCGUAAAAUGGAUUCGUCUGCCCAAGGAUGGGUCUGCGGCCUAUCAGGUAGUAGUGGGUGUAAUGUACCUACUAGCCAACAACGGGUACGGGUUGUGAGAGCAAGAGCCCGGAGAUGGAUUCUGAGACAUGAAUCCAGGCCCUACGGGGCGCAGCAGGCGCGAAAACUUUACAAUGCGGGAAACCGUGAUAAGGGGACACCGAGUGCCAGCAUCAUAUGCUGGCUGUCCAGGUGUGUAAAAUACACCUGUUAGCAAGGGCCGGGCAAGACCAGUGCCAGCCGCCGCGGUAACACCGGCGGCCCGAGUGGUGAUCGUGAUUAUUGGGUCUAAAGGGUCCGUAGCCGGUUUGGUCAGUCCUCCGGGAAAUCUGAUAGCUCAACUAUUAGGCUUUCGGGGGAUACUGCCAGGCUUGGAACCGGGAGAGGUAAGAGGUACUACAGGGGUAGGAGUGAAAUCUUGUAAUCCCUGUGGGACCACCUGUGGCGAAGGCGUCUUACCAGAACGGGUUCGACGGUGAGGGACGAAAGCUGGGGGCACGAACCGGAUUAGAUACCCGGGUAGUCCCAGCCGUAAACGAUGCUCGCUAGGUGUCAGGCAUGGCGCGACCGUGUCUGGUGCCGCAGGGAAGCCGUGAAACGAGCCACCUGGGAAGUACGGCCGCAAGGCUGAAACUUAAAGGAAUUGGCGGGGGAGCAC
rnacentral:rRNA from 1 species